rnacentral:rRNA from 1 species
GAUGAACGCUGGCGGCGUGCCUAACACAUGCAAGUCGAGCGAACAGACGAUGAGCGCUUUCUUCUGCCGUUAGCGGCGGACGGGCGGGUAACACGUGGAUCACCUACUUAUUUUUCUGGGAUAAUUUCGGGAAACCGCUUCCGCUACUAGCUAAUACAUCCAACCGGUGGGAUCAAUAGUGAUUCACGGCUUUGCCGUUUCUAAUAGAUGAUUCCGCGUCGGAUUAGCUAGUUGGUAAGGUAACGGCUUACCAAGGCUACGAUGCGUAGCUGACCUGAGAGGAUGAUCAGCCACACUGGAACUGAGACACGGUCCAGACUCCUACGGGAGGCAGCAGUGGGGAAUCUUGGGCAAUGGGCGAAAGCCUGACGGAGCAAUGCCGCGUGAGUGAUGAAGGUCUUCGGUUCGUAAAGCUCUGUUAUUAGGGAAGAAAAGAUGUGUGUGUAUCUCUGCACGUCUUGACGGUACCUAAUGAAAAAGCAACGGCUAACUACGUG